CUCAGAUCAGGUAGGGAUACCCGCUGAACUUAAGCAUAUCAAUAAGCGGAGGA
rnacentral:rRNA from 1 species